rnacentral:rRNA from 1 species
UACGUAGGGGGCAAGCGUUGUCCGGAAUCAUUGGGCGUAAAGCGCGCGUAGGCGGCUAGAUCAGUCUGCUGUGAAAGUCAAAGGCUCAACCUUUGAAUGCCGGUGGAUACUGUCUAGCUAGAGUCCGGAAGAGGCGAGUGGAAUUCCUGGUGUAGCGGUGGAAUGCGCAGAUAUCAGGAGGAACACCAACGGCGAAGGCAGCUCGCUGGGACGGUACUGACGCUAAGGCGCGAAAGCGUGGGGAGCGAACAGG